rnacentral:rRNA from 1 species
UACGUAGGGGGCAAGCGUUGUCCGGAUUUACUGGGCGUAAAGAGCGUGUAGGCGGCCACGCAGGUCCGUUGUGAAAACUGGAGGCUCAACCUCCAGCUGUCGACGGAAACCGUAUGGCUAGAGUCCGGAAGAGGAGAGUGGAAUUCCUGGUGUAGCGGUGAAAUGCGCAGAUAUCAGGAAGAACACCAAUGGCGAAGGCAGCGCUCUGGGACGGUACUGACGCUGAGACGCGAAAGCGUGGGGAGCGAACAGG